UAUUAGAGGCCUGCCUGCCCAGUGACAUGCGUUUAACGGCCGCGGUAUCCUGACCGUGCAAAGGUAGCAUAAUCAUUUGUUCCUUAAUUAGGGACUAGUAUGAAAGGCUUAACGAGGGUUUUACUGUCUCUUGUUUCCAAUCAGUGAAAUUGACCUCCCCGUGAAGAGGCGGGGAUAAACAUAUAAGACGAGAAGACCCUGUGGAGCUUAAAUUGCCAGCCCAAUUACAACCCACAAACCCACCAUGGCCAACAUAUAGUAAACUGGGCUAGAAAUUUUGGUUGGGGCGACCUCGGAGAAAAAAAAAUCCUCCGAAUGAUUCAUGACCAGACCUAACAAGUCAAGUUAAUAUAUAUAUAUAUAUAUAUAUAUCAUAAAUUGAUCCCAGAAAUUGAUCAACGGAACAAGUUCCCCCAGGGAUAACAGCGCCUCCUAUUUAUAGUCCAUAUCACAAUAGGGUUUACCCCCUCUAUGUUGGUCAGACAUCCAAAUGGCGC
rnacentral:rRNA from 1 species